rnacentral:rRNA from 1 species
UACGGAGGGUGCAAGCGUUAAUCGGAAUUACUGGGCGUAAAGCGCGCGUAGGCGGUUUUGUAAGUCGGAUGUGAAAGCCCCGGGCUUAACCUGGGAACUGCGUUUGAAACUGGGAGACUUGAGUGUGGCAGAGGGGGGUGGAAUUCCUGGUGUAGCAGUGAAAUGCGUAGAUAUCAGGAGGAAUACCGAUGGCGAAGGCGGGAUCCUGGGCCAGUACUGACGCUGAGGAGCGAAAGCGUGGGGAGCAAACAGG